GUGGGGGAUAUUGCACAAUGGGGGGAACCCUGAUGCAGCAACGCCGCGUGAGGGAAGAAGGUUUUCGGAUUGUAAACCUCUGUCUUUGGUGACGAUAAUGACGGUAGCCAAGGAGGAAGCUCCGGCUAACUACGUGCCAGCAGCCGCGGUAAUACGUAGGGAGCGAGCGUUGUCCGGAAUUACUGGGUGUAAAGGGUGCGUAGGCGGGACAGCAAGUCAGGCGUGAAAUCCAUCGGCUUAACCGGUGAACUGCGCUUGAAACUGUAGUUCUUGAGUGAAGUAGAGGCAGGCGGAAUUCCGAGUGUAGCGGUGAAAUGCGUAGAUAUUCGGAGGAACACCAGUGGCGAAGGCGGCCUGCUGGGCUUUUACUGACGCUGAGGCACGAAAGCAUGGGGAGCAAACAGGA
rnacentral:rRNA from 1 species